rnacentral:rRNA from 1 species
UACUAGAGUAGCACUCGCAUAUCAAUAAGCGGAGGAAAAGAAACUAACAAGGAUUCCCCUAGUAACGGCGAGUGAAGCGGGAAGAGCUCAAAUUUGAAAUCUUAAAGGGUUUCCCUUUACGAAUUGUAGUUUAAAGAAGUGUUUUCUGUUGAGGUUUUGGUAAAAGUUCUUUGGAAUAGGACAUCAUAGAGGGUGAGAAUCCCGUAUUUGACCUUUACUUUCAACUUCGUGAUACACUUUCAAAGAAUCGGAUUGUUUGGGAAUGCAGUCCAAAAUGGGUGGUAAAUUUCAUCUAAAGCUAAAUAUUGGCGAGAGACCGAUAGCGAACAAGUACCGUGAGGGAAAGAUGAAAGAACUUUGAAAAGAGAGUUAAACAGUACGUGAAAUUGUCAAAAGGGAAGCGUUUGACACCAGUGUUGUUUUUCUGAAAAUCAAUUAAAGAACUGUUUAUGCUAAGCUGUUUAGACUUUAUCAGCUAUCUGUUUAGUUUUGAGCUUUUCUUUAAUGCACUUUUCAGUUAACAAGUCAACAUCAAUUUCUUUUGCUGUAAAAAAGCUUGAGGAAGGUGGCUUGAGAUUCGUCUUAAGUGUUUAUAGCCUCUUGCCUAUGCAGUCGGAGAGAUUGAGGUCUGCAGCGUAGAUCCUUCGGGGCUAAAUGCAUUUGUGCUAAGUUAUAGCAUUUUAUAGACAACUUGUUGACUAUGAUUUGUCUUGUAGCUUACUCGCUUAUGUUAUUUUACCUACGCUUAGGAUGUUGAGUCAUCACACAUCUCU